rnacentral:misc_RNA from 1 species
GUGAAUCAUCGAAUCUUUGAACGCAAAUGGCACUCCCUGUUAUGCCGGGGAGUAUGCCUGUUUGGGGUUCGUUAGAAGGAAAGUCGAAGCAUCGCUCUUUUUUUUGAGUGUGAUCUCGUCGGAAUUUAGCCGUCGGUCAGAGGUUAAUCCAUGUCAAAGUGGCUUAAGGUUCAUCCAUCCGGUACGAUGAAAGCGUAUGUAAGAUCAGUCUUGAUGAAGAACGCGCGAUGACGUACCAUCUCAUGUAGGAU